CAGUAUCAGAUGGCAGGUGGUAGUACCGCCUAGUAAUGGCGAUGGUACCGUCAGGACCCUAGAAAUCCGGGAAUGGACACUUUUAGGCUCCAUUUUUGAACUCAUUAGGGCCUAUAAAAUCCCCACCCUUUUCUUUUCUACAUGAAAGGGCAUGAAAACUUGACAUUAUCUUGAGUCUUUGAGGCCUUAAAGUGUUGUAAAA
rnacentral:lncRNA from 1 species